GCACUCUUUAAACGAGUCCUGUGAGGCGCGCAAGAGUGUACGGUUCGACCCAAGCACCGUCCGUCUGUCUAGGCACAGGCGGACGGCACAGGGUCGGCGUGUACCCUCUCCCGCGUCGGCAGGAGAGGGUUUUUUUC
rfam:Tumebacillus flagellatus strain GST4 Contig029, whole genome shotgun sequence.